AACGAACGCUGGCGGCAGGCUUAACACAUGCAAGUCGAGCGCCCCGCAAGGGGAGCGGCAGACGGGUGAGUAACGCGUGGGAAUCUACCUUUUGCUACGGAAUAACGCAGGGAAACUUGUGCUAAUACCGUAUGUGUCCUUCGGGAGAAAGAUUUAUCGGCAAGAGAUGAGCCCGCGUUGGAUUAGCUAGUUGGUGGGGUAAAGGCCUACCAAGGCGACGAUCCAUAGCUGGUCUGAGAGGAUGAUCAGCCACAUUGGGACUGAGACACGGCCCAAACUCCUACGGGAGGCAGCAGUGGGGAAUAUUGGACAAUGGGCGCAAGCCUGAUCCAGCCAUGCCGCGUGAGUGAUGAAGGCCCUAGGGUUGUAAAGCUCUUUCACCGGAGAAGAUAAUGACGGUAUCCGGAGAAGAAGCCCCGGCUAACUUCGUGCCAGCAGCCGCGGUAA
rnacentral:rRNA from 2 species